rnacentral:rRNA from 1 species
CCUACGGGGGGCUGCAGUGGGGAAUAUUGGACAAUGGGCGAAAGCCUGAUCCAGCCAUGCCGCGUGUGUGAAGAAGGCCUUCGGGUUGUAAAGCACUUUCAGUGGGGAAGAAAGCCUUGGGGCUAAUACCCUCGAGGAAGGACAUCACCCACAGAAGAAGCACCGGCUAACUCCGUGCCAGCAGCCGCGGUAAUACGGAGGGUGCGAGCGUUAAUCGGAAUUACUGGGCGUAAAGCGCGCGUAGGCGGUCUGAUAAGCCGGUUGUGAAAGCCCCGGGCUCAACCUGGGAACGGCAUCCGGAACUGUCAGGCUAGAGUGCAGGAGAGGAAGGUAGAAGUCCCGGUGUAGCGGUGAAAUGCGUAGAGAUCGGGAGGAAUACCAGUGGCGAAGGCGGCCUUCUGGACUGACACUGACGCUGAGGUGCGAAAGCGUGGGUAGCAAACAGGAUUAGAUACCCCAGUAGU